GACGAACGCUGGCGGCGUGCCUAAUACAUGCAAGUCGAACGCAGUGGGGACGGGUGAGUAACACGUGGGUAACCUCCCAUCAGAGGGGAUAACACUUGGAAACAGCUGCUAAACCGAUACUGAUGGAUGGACCCGCGGUGCAUUAGCUAGUGGGUGAGGUAACGGCUAACCAAGGCCACGAUGCAUAGCGGCCUGGGAGGGGGGUUCGGCCAAACUGGAACUGGGACAGGGCCCAGAUUCCAACGGGGGGCAGCAGGAGGGAAUUUGCGGAAAUGGACGAAAGUCUGACCGAGCAACGCGGGGUGAGUAAAAAGGGUUUUCGGAUCGUAAAACUCUGUUGUUAGAGAAACGGUAUCUAACCAGAAAGCCACGGCUAACUACGUGCCAGCCGCGCGGUAAUUC
rnacentral:rRNA from 1 species